rnacentral:rRNA from 1 species
GACGAACGCUGGCGGCGUGCUUAACACAUGCAAGUCGAACGAAGAGCGAUGGAAGCUUGCCUCUAUCAAUCUUAGUGGCGAACGGGUGAGUAACGCGUAAUCAACCUGCCCUUCAGAGGGGGACAACAGUUGGAAACGACUGCUAAUACCGCAUACGAUCUAAUCUCGGCAUCGAGGACAGAUGAAAGGUGGCCUCUAUUUAUAAGCUAUCACUGAAGGAGGGGAUUGCGUCUGAUUAGCUAGUUGGAGGGGUAACGGCCCACCAAGGCGAUGAUCAGUAGCCGGUCUGAGAGGAUGAACGGCCACAUUGGGACUGAGACACGGCCCAGACUCCUACGGGAGGCAGCAGUGGGGAAUCUUCCGCAAUGGACGAAAGUCUGACGGAGAAACGCCGCGGGAGUGAUGACGGCCGUCGGGUUGUAAAGCUCUGUUAAUCGGGACGAAAGGCCUUCUUGCGAACAGUUAGAAGGAUUGACGGUACCGGAAUAGAAAGCCACGGCUAACUACGUG